AUAGCCAUACCAUGUUGAAAAGCUGGUUCUCAUAUGAUCACCGAUGUUAAGCAACGUUGAGCCUGCUCAGUACCUAGAUGGGUGACCAAUUGGAUGUGCAGGUGAUGCAA